CAUGCUCAUACUCAAACGGGAUAUGGGUUAAAGCCGCCUUAAACUGUAAAAACCUUCCGGACUUUCUUCAUCUUCCUACGACAUAUUGGGCAAGUACCAGCUUCUUCUGCAAUCCUGCAUGGAUAAAAUUAAUGGAAGUUAACAACAACCUAAAUUAGCCACUACUUUCUAACUUAACGAGCUCAGUGAAACCUUGUUCCACACGUGAAACAGGUAGCACAAUGUCCACAAGGAAGAAAGAAACAAUCUCUGGGUGAACCGAAGCAAACAACACAAAGGUGCCGAGGGUUGUUGCUGCUUCUUUCCCCAUCAUUCAAAGGCUUUCCUUCAAGACAAGUGGCUGCUUGCUGCCAUGUUUCCGGAUCCUCUUCGUCCUCGUCAUUGGAUAGGGAAUAGUAAGAUGAACCCCAGCUUGCGAUAUCAUCGUCUUUCUGUGCAAGCAAUGGUGCUCGUUG
rnacentral:lncRNA from 1 species